GACGGGACCCGCACAAGCGGUGGAUGAUGUGGAUUUAAUUCGAAGCAACGCGAAGAACCUUUACCAGGUCUUGACAUCCCGAUGCUAUUUCUAGAGAUAGAAAGUUACUUCGGUACAUCGGUGACAGGUGGUGCAUGGUUGUCGUCAGCUCGUGUCGUGAGAUGUUGGGUUAAGUCCCGCAACGAGCGCAACCCCUAUUGUUAGUUGCCAUCAUUCAGUUGGGCACUCUAGCGAGACUGCCGGUAAUAAACCGGAGGAAGGUGGGGAUGACGUCAAAUCAUCAUGCCCCUUAUGACCUGGGCUACACACGUGCUACAAUGGUUGGUACAACGAGUUGCGAGUCGGUGACGGCGAGCCAAUCUCUUAAAGCCAAUCUCAGUUCGGAUUGUAGGCUGCAACUCGCCUACAUGAAGUCGGAAUCGCUAGUAAUCGCGGAUCAGCACGCCGCGGUGAAUACGUUCCCGGGCCUU
rnacentral:rRNA from 1 species